rnacentral:rRNA from 1 species
UACGUAGGGUGCGAGCGUUAAUCGGAAUACUGGGCGUAAAGCGUGCGCAGGCGGUUCGUUGUGUCGGCGGUGAAAGCCCCGGGCUUAACCUGGGAAUGGCCGUCGAAACUGGCGAACUGGAGUGUGGCAGAGGGGGGUGGAAUUCCGCGUGUAGCAGUGAAAUGCGUAGAUAUGCGGAGGAACACCGAUGGCGAAGGCAAUCCCCUGGGCCUGCACUGACGCUCAUGCACGAAAGCGUGGGGAGCAAACAGG